GUGUAUUUACAUCCAGUUCGUUUCACGACUUCAAUGCCAAAGGUUCCCCACCCACAACCUAUGUCCAGAACUUCCUGCUUCGGCUUAAUUCUUGCCUAGAUUGUUUCAAGGUAAAGAAUGCAUACUUGUAAGUGUAAGUUAACAUUAUAAAAAACUUUACCGAGAAAAUUGAUGAAAUAUUUGUGGAUUGAGCUCACUUUUUCAAUCAGAAUAGAAAUUUUCCUCAUCUGUGCUGUUUGCAAGUCUUCAUCUUCCGUCUAUAAACAAAUAAAUACACUCAUAAAUAAAUAAUUGUCAUAGAUGGAUUAAGAUAACUUGCUUACCUUAAAGAUCCCAGAGGAGUAUGUCAUUGUUCCACCCAAGAACAGAGCAAAAACUUCAUUACUCUGGAAACACAAACCACAAAAUUAGAAAUAAGCUCCAAGUUGAGAGAUUCUUAUUAGCCCAGUUUAAUCCUGACAUAAACAAAAAUACCAGGUCAUAGUGACGAGAGAUGUUCCUGCGAGCUUGUGUGAGAGUAUUUUGCCUUAAAACAUGCUGGUACACCAACUUGGCCGAUGCAAAGGUAGCUGUGAAUGAUAACAACGGCGUCCACCAACCCCUGAAAGCCAUCUUGAUGUGGAUACUCGACAUACAAAGUUCCAACAGCGACAACUACUACUAAAAUCAUAUUCAUAGUCUUACCUCUUCUUGUUUGAUUUUGAUGCAGAUUUAUUGGCAAUCAUUAGCUGCAAAACAUAAUUAAAUUUGGAGAUGAGAAACAAAUAAUUUGGGACUAAAAACGGAGCAAUUGCAUGUCUCACC
rnacentral:lncRNA from 1 species